rnacentral:rRNA from 1 species
GACAGAGGGGGCAAGCGUUGCUCGGAAUCACUGGGCGUAAAGGGCGCGUAGGCGGGAUGGCAAGUCGGUCGUGAAAUCUCUCGGCUCAACCGAGAAACGUCGGCCGAUACUGCCGUUCUUGAGGGAUGCAGAGGAGACUGGAAUUCCAGGUGUAGCGGUGAAAUGCGUAGAUAUCUGGAGGAAUACCGGUGGCGAAGGCGGCAUCCUGGACCAUAACUGACGCUGAGGCGCGAAAGCUAGGGGAGCAAACGGG